GGGCAUUUUCGGGGACUAGCCCG
rnacentral:snRNA from 1 species